rnacentral:rRNA from 1 species
AACGAACGCUGGCGGCAUGCCUAACACAUGCAAGUCGAACGAGACCUUCGGGUCUAGUGGCGCACGGGUGCGUAACGCGUGGGAACCUGCCCUUAGGUUCGGAAUAACUCCCCGAAAGGGGUGCUAAUACCGGAUAAUGUCUUCGGACCAAAGAUUUAUCGCCUUUGGAUGGGCCCGCGUAGGAUUAGCUAGUUGGUAGGGUAAAAGCCUACCAAGGCGACGAUCCUUAGCUGGUCUGAGAGGAUGAUCAGCCACACUGGGACUGAGACACGGCCCAGACUCCUACGGGAGGCAGCAGUGGGGAAUAUUGGACAAUGGGCGAAAGCCUGAUCCAGCAAUGCCGCGUGAGUGAUGAAGGCCUUAGGGUUGUAAAGCUCUUUUACCCGGGAUGAUAAUGACAGUACCGGGAGAAUAAGCUCCGGCUAACUCCGUG